UCAACAAUUGGAUAAUCGGAAAACAUAUGCAAACUUUGUGGAUGUCGACGAUGCAUGGAAUUUAGUAGGAUGCAUAGAUACACACUAAAAAAGAAUUGUAUUCAUAUUAUAUUAUUUUAUUAUUCAUGUUGUUGUAUUGUUUCAAAAGCCUUGUAAUUGAUCCUUUAGAAAUGGAAUGAAAUGGUUAUUUAAAUA